rnacentral:rRNA from 1 species
UACGUAGGGGGCAAGCGUUGUCCGGAUUUACUGGGCGUAAAGAGCGUGUAGGCGGCCAGGUAGGUCAGCUGUGAAAACUCGAGGCUCAACCUCGAGACGCCGGUUGAAACCAUCUGGCUAGAGUCCGGAAGAGGAGAGUGGAAUUCCUGGUGUAGCGGUGAAAUGCGCAGAUAUCAGGAAGAACACCCGUGGCUAAGGCGGCUCUCUAGUACGGUACUGACGCUGAGACGCGAAAGCGUGGGGAGCGAACAGG